rnacentral:lncRNA from 10 species
UGAGCCUCUUAUGGGAUCAUGAGGAUUGUGUGCUGGGAUCCCGGCAGACAAAGCUGAGAUUCAGCUGGAUAAAGCAGGCUGUAGCACAGCUGAUGUUUGUUCUCUGUGGAAAUCAGGCUCUUUUCUCCUAAGGUCAGUGCCCAAAAAGGUAAAGAAAACCUCAUGCAGUGUGCUUGCUUCUCCUCAUGGGCAGCCCAUUUGGAUACCCUGGAAAUUGAACCUAAUUUAAAAGGUAUCUGAAUCUAAUCAGUCACAGGAAGAAUGUGUGUAUACCAUAUUAUAG